UACAGAGGGUCCCAAGCGUUGUUCGGAUUCACUGGCGUAAAGGGCGCGAUAGGCGGCUGUUCAAGUCGGGGGUGAAAUCCCGGUGGCUCAACCACGGAAUGGCCUUCGAUACUGGACGGCUAGAGACCGGAAGAGGUGAGUGGAACUGCGAGUGUAGAGGUGAAAUUCGUAGAUAUUCGCAAGAACACCAGUGGCGAAGGCGGC
rnacentral:rRNA from 1 species